AAUAGAUCUUAUUUUAUAUUUUUAAUUUGUGAGUUCUUUGUAGGUAACCCUGUAAACGUAUGUAUUGUUCUGUUUUUUAGGAGAUACUGGUUCGAAACCCUUGUCUUUAGCUGAACAGUUGGUAGCAAAGAAGAACACAGGGCUGAAGAAGACGGUGGAAAGUGAGGAGGUUGCCCCAGAACCUAUGGAUAUGAUGUCGCAACUACAGAAAAAACUUGAAAAGCGAAAGAAGAACUAGUGCGUAGUUAAUUGAUUUUGUUUAAUGUCAGGACUAUAAUAUAAUUAGAUAUUUAAUCUUUUU